UUGCAUGUUGCAUGAGUUACUUUUGCACCAGUUUUAAGCCUUUGGUCCCGGUAGUCUUUUGCAGCAAUGAGGGCAGACCCAGUGUAGUCCCUUGCUAUUACUCUCCAUCAUGUCUUACCAUUUAGGAAGCUGCCAACAUUUACGUGGAUCUUUGAUUGCCCACUGAUGGAGGAGACUCCAUCAUGUCUUACUAUUUAGGAAGCAGCCAACAUCUACUUUGUGUUCUUGGGAGUUGUAUUAACUCUCUCUUAAACUUGCAACAAAUAGUGGUAUUUGUGAUAUAUAGUAUUAAUCAUUUAUUAAAUCUUUAAUUGAUUGGAUUUGUCUUUUAAUUUGAAAUGCACUGUUUUAUUUAUUUUUAAAAAUCAACGUUCUAAUUUGAAAGAAAAC
rnacentral:lncRNA from 1 species